UACGAAGGGGGCUAGCGUUGCUCGGAAUCACUGGGCGUAAAGCGCACGUAGGCGGAUUGCUAAGUCAGGGGUGAAAUCCUGGAGCUCAGCUCCAGAACUGCCUUUGAUACUGGCGAUCUUGAGUCCGGGAGAGGUGAGUGGAACUGCGAGUGUAGAGGUGAAAUUCGUAGAUAUUCGCAAGAACACCAGUGGCGAAGGCGGCUCACUGGCCCGGUACUGACGCUGAGGUGCGAAAGCGUGGGGAGCAACAGG
rnacentral:rRNA from 1 species